rnacentral:rRNA from 1 species
AGUUUGAUCCUGGCUCAGGACGAACGCUGGCGGCGUGCUUAACACAUGCAAGUCGAACGGAAAGGCCCUUCGGGGUACUCGAGUGGCGAACGGGUGAGUAACACGUGGGUGAUCUGCCCUGCACUUUGGGAUAAGCCUGGGAAACUGGGUCUAAUACCGAAUAGGACCGCGCGCUUCAUGGUGUGUGGUGGAAAGCUUUUGCGGUGUGGGAUGGGCCCGCGGCCUAUCAGCUUGUUGGUGGGGUAAUGGCCUACCAAGGCGACGACGGGUAGCCGGCCUGAGAGGGUGACCGGCCACACUGGGACUGAGACACGGCCCAGACUCCUACGGGAGGCAGCAGUGGGGAAUAUUGCACAAUGGGCGCAAGCCUGAUGCAGCGACGCCGCGUGAGGGAUGACGGCCUUCGGGUUGUAAACCUCUUUCACCAGGGACGAAGCGCAAGUGACGGUACCUGGAGAAGAAGCACCGGCCAACUACGUGCCAGCAGCCGCGGUAAUACGUAGGGUGCGAGCGUUGUCCGGAAUUACUGGGCGUAAAGAGCUCGUAGGUGGUUUGUCGCGUUGUUCGUGAAAACUCACAGCUUAACUGUGGGCGUGCGGGCGAUACGGGCAGACUAGAGUACUGCAGGGGAGACUGGAAUUCCUGGUGUAGCGGUGGAAUGCGCAGAUAUCAGGAGGAACACCGGUGGCGAAGGCGGGUCUCUGGGCAGUAACUGACGCUGAGGAGCGAAAGCGUGGGGAGCGAACAGGAUUAGAUACCCUGGUAGUCC